rnacentral:rRNA from 1 species
AUGAACGCUAGCUACAGGCUUAACACAUGCAAGUCGAGGGGCAGCAUGAACUUAGCUUGCUAAGUUUGAUGGCGACCGGCGCACGGGUGAGUAACACGUAUCCAACCUGCCGAUGACUCGGGGAUAGCCUUUCGAAAGAAAGAUUAAUACCCGAUGGCAUAGUUCUUCCGCAUGGUAGAACUAUUAAAGAAUUUCGGUCAUCGAUGGGGAUGCGUUCCAUUAGGUUGUUGGCGGGGUAACGGCCCACCAAGCCUUCGAUGGAUAGGGGUUCUGAGAGGAAGGUCCCCCACAUUGGAACUGAGACACGGUCCAAACUCCUACGGGAGGCAGCAGUGAGGAAUAUUGGUCAAUGGACGAGAGUCUGAACCAGCCAAGUAGCGUGAAGGAUGACUGCCCUAUGGGUUGUAAACUUCUUUUAUACGGGAAUAAAGUGAGGCACGUGUGCCUUUUUGUAUGUACCGUAUGAAUAAGGAUCGGCUAACUCCGUGCCAGCAGCCGCGGUAAUACGGAGGAUCCGAGCGUUAUCCGGAUUUAUUGGGUUUAAAGGGAGCGUAGGCGGACGCUUAAGUCAGUUGUGAAAGUUUGCGGCUCAACCGUAAAAUUGCAGUUGAUACUGGGUGUCUUGAGUACAGUAGAGGCAGGCGGAAUUCGUGGUGUAGCGGUGAAAUGCUUAGAUAUCACGAAGAACUCCGAUUGCGAAGGCAGCUUGCUGGACUGUAACUGACGCUGAUGCUCGAAAGUGUGGGUAUCAAACAGGAUUAGAUACCCUGGUAGUCCACACCGUAAACGAUGGAUACUAGGUGUAGGGAAUAUUAAAAUUCUCUGUGCCGCCGCUAACGCAAUAAGUAUCCCACCUGGGGAGUAGGGCCGCAAGGUUGAAACUCAAAGGAAUUGACGGGGGCCCGCACAAGCAGUGGAGUAUGUGGUUUAAUUCGACGCAACGCGAAGAACCUUACCAGGUCUUGACAUCGAGUGACGAAUCUAGAGAUAGAUUUUUCCUUCGGGACACAAAGACAGGUGGUGCAUGGUUGUCGUCAGCUCGUGCCGUGAGGUGUCGGCUUAAGUGCCAUAACGAGCGCAACCCUUAUCGAUAGUUACCAUCAGGUUAUGCUGGGGACUCUGUCGAGACUGCCGUCGUAAGAUGUGAGGAAGGUGGGGAUGACGUCAAAUCAGCACGGCCCUUACGUCCGGGGCUACACACGUGUUACAAUGGGGGGUACAGAAGGCAGCUACACGGCGACGUGAUGCUAAUCCCGAAAGCCUCUCUCAGUUCGGAUUGGAGUCUGCAACCCGACUCCAUGAAGCUGGAUUCGCUAGUAAUCGCGCAUCAGCCACGGCGCGGUGAAUACGUUCCCGGGCCUUGUACACACCGCCCGUCACACCAUGGGAGUUGGGAGUGCCCAAAGCCGGUGAGGCAACCGCAAGGAGCCAGCCGUCUAAGGCAAGACCAAUGACUGGGGUG